GAUGAACGCUGGCGGCGUGCUUAACACAUGCAAGUCGAACGGGCUCUGCCUGGAACUGUGCUUGGUGUGGCUAGUGGCUAACUGAUGAGUAAUACGUUAGUAACCGGACGUCUACAUUGGGUUAAGCCUUGUAAACGUAGCCUAUUACCUGAUAUUCCUGUCUGGUCGCAUGGCCGGGUGGGGACAGUCUUCUUCUUUGCGGGAUGGGCUCGCGACCUAUUAGCUAGUUGGUGGUGUGAUGGCCUACCAAGGGGUCGACGGGUAGCCGUCAUACGAGGGUGACCGGCCACAGUGGGAGUGGGAAACGGCCCGGACUCCAACGGGAGGAGGCGGUGGGGAAUAUUGCACAAUGGGCGCAGGCCGGAUGCAGCGAGGCGGCGUGGGGGAUGACGGCUUUCGGGUUGUAAACCUCUUUCGUCGGGGGUCAAGGCUCUGCUUGGUGGUGGGGUUGAGGUACCCGGUGAAGAAGCGCCGGCUAACUACGUG
rnacentral:rRNA from 1 species